rnacentral:misc_RNA from 1 species
UCAAAAUAUGGAUCCCAGUUUUCAGAAGCAUUUGGGAAGUUAUAUGGUCAACCAAGGCAAGGCGUUGGAAAUGAUUCAGUUGAAUCUUCAAGAUUGCGCGGAUGUGUCCACGAGAAUUGUAUAAGUUGUAUUGUGCCUCUUAAAGAGCCAGGGGUUUCCACUAUAAAGCGGUUCAGCACUUCAGGUUUGGAUGGAAAAGUG